GCCUUGAUGGCUCAGUGGUAGAGCGCGUCCUUGGUAAGGACGAGGUCGCGGGUUCAAAUCCCGCUCGAGGCU
rnacentral:tRNA from 1 species